CACGAAUCUCGAUAUGUCUCCAAGUUGACAUCAGAGUUGAUUAUGGCAGAUAGGCACAGCCCUUUUCGCCAUUCUUCUAAUCGUGGGAAUCCUACGUUCUCCCCGUAUUUGUCACAGUACUGCAAUGCAGCAACAAAAGUACAAAAUAGUGUCUGCAAGAAUGCAAGAACCAUCCAUGAAAGUGACCCAUCCAUCCUCUUGAAGGGAGUCUAUCUGCACAAGGUGAAAGUUCUCAUGUUUGGAUAUGACUUUAGAUAAACCCUCAGAGAUUUUGAGAGAUCUGGAACUCAUAUGGACUUCCUUUGCAACUUCCACAAGCUCCAUUGAUAUAUCUUGUCCACUUAAGGAACUCCCAACCACAACCACAAUCUGUUGAAUGAAAAUUUCUCUCAAAUAAGUCAGGCAGUGCUUAUUUAGAGCAAAAAGGGAGGAAGUUUAUAAAUUAUGAAAGCUAAAUAAUAUUUCUCAUUGUUUUACUAAUGCAUAUGUGCCUGCUUCUCAACCUUUUACAGGACUUAUAUAGCCUUUCCACUAGACCACUACAAAUGAAUUUCACACUCUUUAAAUUAUUUAAAUAAAUAUGAGAUUACACAUAUCAUAUACCUCAUUGUGGAAUGGUUCUGGGGUUCUGUAAAUGUGACUAUGCAUUUGAUUUCUUUUCCAUUUGUCCAUUCCUGAGCAUCAGAAAGACAGGAAUAAAAAUAUAUUAUGAGCUUGAAUGCAUAAUUAUAUAUGUAA